rnacentral:tRNA from 1 species
GGAGAGGUGGCUGAGUGGAUGAAAGCGCACGACUCGAAAUCGUGUAACGGGCGACCCCCGUUCGUGGGUUCGAAUCCCACCCUCUCCGCCA